rnacentral:snoRNA from 1 species
GUUGUGAUGAUUUUCUGCUUCAGGACGCCUUCUGACGCCAACAUGAGAGCACCUCUGCGGUCUGACA